AGCGGCGGACGGGUGAGUAAUACUUAGGAAUCUACCUAGUAGUGGGGGAUAGCACGGGGAAACUCGUAUUAAUACCGCAUACGACCUACGGGGGAAAGGGGCAGUUUACUGCUCUCGCUAUUAGAUGAGCCUAAGUCGGAUUAGCUAGAUGGUGGGGUAAAGGCCUACCAUGGCGGCGAUCUGUAGCUGGUCUGAGAGGAUGAUCAGCCACACCGGGACUGAGACACGGCCCGGACUCCUACGGGAGGCAGCAGUGGGGGAUAUUGGACAAUGGGGGAAACCCUGAUCCAGCCAUGCCGCGUGUGUGAAGAAGGCCUUUUGGUUGUAAAGCACUUUAAGCAGUGAAGAAGACUCUUCGGUUAAUACCCGGAGACGAUGACAUUAGCUGCAGAAUAAGCACCGGCUAACUCUGUGCCAGCAGCCGCGGUAAUACAGAGGGUGCAAGCGUUAAUCGGAAUUACUGGGCGUAAAGGGAGCGUAGGUGGCUCGAUAAGUCAGAUGUGAAAUCCCCGGGCUCAACCUGGGAACUGCAUCUGAUACUGUUGAGCUAGAGUAUGUGAGAGGAAGGUAGAAUUCCAGGUGUAGCGGUGAAAUGCGUAGAUAUAUGGAGGAACACCGGUGGCGAAGGCGGCUGCCUGGCCUGUAACUGACGCUGAGGCACGAAAGCGUGGGGAGCAAAUAGGAUUAGAUACCCUAGUAGUCCACGCUGUAAACGAUGAUUACUAAGUGUUGGAGAAAUUCAGUGCUGCAGUUAACGCAAUAAGUAAUCCGCCUGGGAGUAUGCACGCAAGUGUGAAACUCAAAGGAAUUGACGGGACCCCGCACAAGCGGUGGAGUAUGUGG
rnacentral:rRNA from 1 species